rnacentral:rRNA from 1 species
UACGUAGGUGGCAAGCGUUGUCCGGAAUUACUGGGUGUAAAGCGCGUGUAGGCGGCAGGCCAAGUCUGCGGUGAAAGCGCCCGGCUCAACUGGGCGAGGUCCGUGGAAACUGGUCAGCUGGAGGACGGUAGAGGCGAGUGGAAUUCCCGGUGUAGUGGUGAAAUGCGUAGAGAUCGGGAGGAACACCUGUGGCGAAGGCGGCUCGCUGGGCCGGUCCUGACACUGAGGCGCGACAGCGUGGGGAGCAAACAGG